UACGAAGGGAGCUAGCGUUGUUCGGAAUCACUGGGCGUAAAGCGCACGUAGGCGGAUGUGUCAGUCAGGGGUGAAAUCCCGGAGCUCAACUUCGGAACUGCCUUUGAUACAGCACGUCUUGAGUCCGGAAGAGGUGGGUGGAACUCCUAGUGUAGAGGUGAAAUUCGUAGAUAUUAGGAAGAACACCGGUGGCGAAGGCGGCCCACUGGUCCGGUACUGACGCUGAGGUGCGAAAGCGUGGGGAGCAAACAGG
rnacentral:rRNA from 1 species